AUGGGCAGGAGGAAGCUUCAGCAGGGCAUUGAGAAUCUUAGAGAUAUCGAUUUACCUGCAAACAAAGCCAAAUCCUACAAGAAUCCCGGAAGACAACCUUCCACAAAAUGCCUUUCUUGUUGUGUUGGUCUGCCUGGGAUUACAAGGACGACCUGGAGUGGGAUAACUCAUGCUGAACACUGUGAUCUUUUAGUGAAUCCCCGGAGAAAUCUGCAAGGAUUGUCAGCUGCAUGGAAAGCUUUUGGGAGGCUAAAAAUAAUCUGUCUUGCAUUCAACAAUUGCUUAAGAGUUUUCCAUUGUAAAUGGUAGCAAAAAUUGAUGUAUCCCAUCUUCUGAAUCUUUCCCAAGUUUUAAUUAUGUCACAACUUGUAUCCUUUGUCAAUAGAUCUUUCGAAUUGAUUUGUCC
rnacentral:lncRNA from 1 species